rnacentral:rRNA from 1 species
GGACCCGCACAAGCGGUGGAGCAUGUGGUUUAAUUCGAAGCUACGCGCAGAACCUUACCAACACUUGACAUGUCUGUCGCGGAAUUCAGAGAUGAAUUCCUUCGGUUCGGCCGGACAGAACACAGGUGCUGCAUGGCUGUCGUCAGCUCGUGUCGUGAGAUGUUGGGUUAAGUCCCGCAACGAGCGCAACCCCCUACUUCUAGUUGCCAUCAGGUUAAGCUGGGCACUCUAUGGAAACUGCCCGUGAUAAGCGGGAGGAAGGUGUGGAUGACGUCAAGUCCUCAUGGCCCUUACGUGUUGGGCUACACACGUGCUACAAUGGCAUUUACAAUAGGAAGCAAGAUGGCGACAUCAAGCAAAUCCUAAAAAAAUGCCUCAGUUCGGAUUGUACUCUGCAACUCGAGUACAUGAAGCUGGAAUUACUAGUAAUCG